UAUAUCCAUGAGGCUUUCAAACUGGUUUCUAGCCUGCGUGUCUGCUCAAUAGCUGGGGGUGGGGGGGGGGGAGAGUUGUUUAGAUCCAGAGAAAAUCCAUGUAGCUCUGGUUAUGCACAAGCCAUUUGUUCUUAGAAAAAAGGGAAUUUUACAAGUUUACAACAUUCCAGUGUUGGGAGCCAUCUGGUGGCCAUUAUGGGCCAUGCUUGCUUAUUUUAAUGCACAAGGCUCAAAAGGCUGCUGGUUGCAGUUAUUCUAUGAUGUAUUUUUCUCGAGAUCUCUAUUUGCAAAGUCUUCAUUAUGUUCAAAUUUCUCAUACUUUUUAUUAUUUUGUGGUUUACAGAGAUUUUUUCCAAAGCGUGCGGUUAUAUUUAAUUUUUGCACACACAUUAACAACCAGAAAGGAAAAGAGGCCUAUAAUUACAAGAAUAGAUGUUAUAUUAAGUAUUACUAAUCUCAUUGACAUAUAAAACAAGAGAGUUAAUCAGUUACUUUAGUGAUAUUGUAUGUGCGAUUUCAAAGAAGAGGUUCUGCAAAUCUAAGCAGAUAACCAGUCGUGCAGACAAACUUAGGCUUCUCUCACAAUUUCUACUUCCUGCAUUGUGUGAAAAUAUAUAGGAAACAUUCUCUUUUACCAGGAAGCAAUGGCCAGUCUAUGUUUAUUAUUCUCAGUUUUUCUUUACAAUUUUUUAAAGCUUUCCAACUUAUGAAAUAAAUGAAUUGUGUAUGACAGAGGUGAGCUUGGGAGGGUUUUUUUUUUUUUAAAGAAAAACUGUUCCAUAGCUCAGCCAUUUAGGAUAAUAAUCAUUCCACAGUUUAAGAUUCCCCCCUCACUGUUUUAUAUUGCCAGGUAGUUGUCUAUUUUUUCUUUUCUUUUUAAAAUAAAUUAGUUUGAGUGAGUGAGAGAGAGAGAGAGAGA